GAUGAACGCUAGCUACAGGCUUAACACAUGCAAGUCGCAGGGUAACAUGAGGAAAGCUUGCUUUCCUUGAUGACGACUGGCGCACGGGUGAGUAACGCGUAUCCAACCUUCCCAUAACUACGGGAUAACCCGUUGAAAGACGGCCUAAUACCGUAUGAUAUCGUUUGCUGACAUCAAAUAACGAUUAAAGGUUUAGCGGUUAUGGAUGGGGAUGCGUCUGAUUAGCUUGUUGGCGGGGUAACGGCCCACCAAGGCGACGAUCAGUAGGGGUUCUGAGAGGAAGGUCCCCAACAUUGGAACUGAGACACGGUCCAACCUCCUACGGGAGGCAGCAGUGAGGAAUAUUGGUCAAUGGGCGAGAGCCUGAACCAGCCAAGUAGCGUGCAGGACGACGGCCCUAUGGGUUGUAAACUGCUUUUAUGUGGGGAUAAAGUGCGUGACGUGUCAUGCAUUGCAGGUACCACAUGAAGAAGGACCGGCUAAUUCCG
rnacentral:rRNA from 1 species